rnacentral:rRNA from 1 species
AUUGAACGCUGGCGGCAUGCCUUACACAUGCAAAUCGAACGGCAGCACGGGAGCAAUCCUGGUGGCGAGUGGCGAACGGGUGAGUAAUACAUCGGAACGUACCUGGUAGUGGGGGAUAGCCCGGCGAAAGCCGGAUUAAUACCGCAUACGACCUGAGGGUGAAAGCGGGGGAUCGCAAGACCUCGCGCUAUUGGAGCGGCCGAUGGCAGAUUAGGUAGUUGGUGGGGUAAAGGCCUACCAAGCCUGCGAUCUGUAGCUGGUUUGAGAGGACGACCAGCCACACUGGGACUGAGACACGGCCCAGACUCCUACGGGAGGCAGCAGUGGGGAAUUUUGGACAAUGGGCGUAAGCCUGAUCCAGCCAUGCCGCGUGCGGGAAGAAGGCCUUCGGGUUGUAAACCGCUUUUGUCGGGGAAGAAACGGUGGAGGUUAAUACCUUCUGCUAAUGACGGUACCCGAAGAAUAAGCACCGGCUAACUACGUGCCAGCAGCCGCCGUAAUAC